AUGAACGCUGGCGGCGUGCCUAAUACAUGCAAGUCGAGCGCACAGACGAGGAGCUUGCUCCUCUGACGUUAGCGGCGGACGGGUGAGUAACACGUGGAUAACCUACCUAUAAGACUGGGAUAACUUCGGGAAACCGGAGCUAAUACCGGAUAAUAUAUUGAACCGCAUGGUUCAAUAGUGAAAGACGGUUUUGCUGUCACUUAUAGAUGGAUCCGCGCCGCAUUAGCUAGUUGGUAAGGUAACGGCUUACCAAGGCAACGAUGCGUAGCCGACCUGAGAGGGUGAUCGGCCACACUGGAACUGAGACACGGUCCAGACUCCUACGGGAGGCAGCAGUAGGGAAUCUUCCGCAAUGGGCGAAAGCCUGACGGAGCAACGCCGCGUGAGUGAUGAAGGUCUUCGGAUCGUAAAACUCUGUUAUUAGGGAAGAACAAAUGUGUAAGUAACUAUGCGCGUCUUGACGGUACCUAAUCAGAAAGCCACGGCUAACUACGUG
rnacentral:rRNA from 1 species